rnacentral:lncRNA from 1 species
GGCAUGGAAAAAUAAGUACUUCCUUUUUUGGGAAUCAUGACCCGAAUUGGAAAUUUACCGCUUUUUAGUGGAAGAGCCCGGCGGCAACACAGCGCUUGUAAGUGACUUCUGACUUGGUAGGCAAACAAUAAAUAAGUUAUGUAUGUUUGGUCUGUAUUCUACACUGCAUGUUGAGACAUAUAAACUACCCCGAGUAAGUAAGAACCGCCUAAGUUAAUGUAUAAUAUGAAUCUUAAAGCACCUAGGCGGCGCAGCUCGAGUCCAUCCCACCACCAACAUUGAUACCUCACUGACACAACCCAGGAUGACUUUCAAGGAUAUGACAUUUUCUUCUCGAGAAGCCAAGGAUCUGUGCCAUAAUUUUUUUGUCGCUUCCUGCAUGAUGCGAUGCAUCUCAAUGUACAUAUCUGUGUCAGACUGUCAAAUUGCGGGGUGGAUCUAUUAGCGGUCUGAUUCGCAGAGCAGUAAUAGCCAUAACAGGAGAAAUGCACAGCAAUCAUGCCCUUAUUUUCCGCGGUGUUUUUCCCCUCUACUUCAUUCGCAGUGAUAUUCCAUGUCCCAUGGCGUGUGUACGCCGUAGCAAGCGGGGUGCGCCUUUUGCAAGAGCUUAUUAUUCAAUACUCAACCCCCAAAACACCAGAUGACAAAUUCCGCUGGCUUCGCUUUGUAACAUUAGGGUUGUACAAGGCGCAACAUUCUGCAACAUUCUGCGUAACCUCCCAUAUCGGUACGAUCGAUCAAGGGGAACAGAACACAAUAACUACGUAGACGCUGGAUUGACCAUGACACGGUGUCAAACGGACACUGUACAUUUUGUACGCCGCAGAACAAAUGCUGGCACCGACAGUCAGCACUUGAGGCGGAUGACUAUUCCUGAGUAGGCACCAUUUUUCGCGCCACUUUCUCAGCAGUCUCGAAGCGCUGCUGUGCCGCACUUAUAUAGUUCGAAAAUGCUUCGACCUCUUCACGCCGUACAGACUCUACAGAACCAACAAGCUCAUAGCCGAGACUAAUUAAGUCUGUACCUAAAAUCGGGCUUGCUCGCUUACGGGCCAAUGAACAGCGGUAUUGGCUACAUCCACCUGUGAUGGGGACUAGACUAGCUACAUACGUAUGUACUGUGAAAAGCUACGACCGCUCGUCUGUCCAUCGUGAGUGAGUUCCGUGUGAGUGACGCUUGUCAAAAGAAGAAAUUACUAGCCCUACCGUACUGCCUACAUAGAGUUACAUAGGCAGGACAGACUCUAUCAUGUCGAUGGGCAAAACAACAUUGGAAGCAGAUGCGAUCUCGGUUCGGAUCUGUUCAAUCCGAGAUGCCGGUCAACCCAGCCAUAUGUGUGUCUUUUCAAUGUGAGACUUUGUAGAUACUGCUACUAUGCAGUAGUGUACCCCCCCAUUCAUGCUUACGCCGCUUAUGGUGACGCAUCGCCCUCUCAGGUCGACUCAUCUAUUGCCUUUCGGACUGGGUCAUGUACAGUUAUGUGUGCAUGUACAUAGAGAGAGGGGGCAUGGGGCUCAAAUGUAUCAUCAGUCUCUGUCCAUUCUACCCCCCAAAAAAAAACUCGGCAGGGGAAGA